rnacentral:rRNA from 1 species
UUUAACGGCCGCGGUAUUUUGACCGUGCAAAGGUAGCGCAAUCACUUGUCUUUUAAAUGAAGACCUGUAUGAAUGGCAUAACGAGGGCUUAACUGUCUCCUUUUUCCAGUCAAUGAAAUUGAUCUCCCCGUGCAGAAGCGAGGAUAUUAACAUAAGACGAGAAGACCCUAUGGAGCUUUAGACACCAGAACAGACCAUGUUAAACACCCCUUAAAUGAAGGACAAAACUAAUUGGCCCCUGUUCUAAUGUCUUUGGUUGGGGCGACCGCGGGGAAACAAAAAACCCCCAUGUGGACCGGGAGCACACUCACUCCUACAACCCAGAGGCACAACUCCAAGUAACAGAACUUCUGACCAACAAGAUCCGGCACAUAGCCGAUCAACGGACCGAGUACCCUAG